rnacentral:rRNA from 1 species
UACGUAGGGCGCAAGCGUUGUCCGGAAUUAUUGGGCGUAAAGAGCUCGUAGGCGGUCUGUCGCGUCUGCUGUGAAAACUCAGGGCUUAACCCUGAGCUUGCAGUGGGUACGGGCAGACUAGAGUGCGGUAGGGGAGACUGGAAUUCCUGGUGUAGCGGUGGAAUGCGCAGAUAUCAGGAGGAACACCGAUGGCGAAGGCAGUUCUCUGGGCCGUAACUGACGCUGAGGAGCGAAAGCGUGGGGAGCGAACAGG